CGAGUUUUUUAUGCAAUCGAGUUGUGAGUGGUUCCUCCCUACCUCUCCCGUCGCACCUCGCCCUCUCCCUUGCCCUGCCCCAGAUCUCGGCCUCCAGUCCUCGCUGCCGCCGCGACUUGCUCGCCCCGUCUCCCUCCGGCCCUGCCUCAUCGCGGCCGUGGUGGCCAAGGAACACGAGCUCAUUGGAAACACUCUUAAAUAAAGCUUCAAUGAACAAGACAGGAGCUCGACUUCGCCUAGCUCCGAACAAGCGGUUGACGAGGCGGAGGUCUCGCGUCCUACGUGCGUCGCGCCGUUGCCUGGCUCCGUCCUCGCCGUUCCUCUGUAGAAGCUGGCCGCUGACCCCCGCCCGCCUCCGCUUGGCCGUCUGGCCGCCCCCCGCGUGGUCACCUAGAUGGCUGGCCGCGCCCCUAGAUUUGGGUUCCUACCUUGUUAGGACUUCCAUCUUCGUUCAUUUUGCUGUGUGUCCGUCGGAUAGAUGACUAAUGCAUCCUCAAAGUUCUCCAAGGCGGAGCCUUGCAUCUUUGUGUGUUUGAUUUGGUUGAGCUGCAACCCGUGCUGCUGUCCUUUUCAGUAUAAAAAAAGAUUUAGAUGUAGGUUGGCAUUCGGAUGAAAAAUGGACCGUGAAAAAAAAGGAGGUCCAUUCACCUUGUGUUCUGUCAUUUGAGCACGGAUCCUUUAGUGUAUAGGAAAGCGUGAUAUUUCUGAUAAUCUUCUGCUUUUCAGAGAAAAGCUUUGAGUAAUUGAGAUGUAUAUUCCUCUAUUGAAAGAAAAAGAGGGGUUUUCAAGCAAUAUGAAAGCUUGAUGCUUUCGUUCUUCGUUUUAUUUAAGAUCACUUUCCUCCCUUGUUCUUAUGAAAUGUGCAACUCUUUAAUCAGGGAUGGCAACCGAUAGUGAAGCCUCGAAGGCAGCUGAGGUUGUGGUUGACUGGCAUAAACAGGACAGCAAGAGGAUGCUCCAUGCAGUUUACCGUGUUGGGGAUCUGGACCGCACAAUCAAGUACUACACAGAAUGCUUUGGGAUGAAACUGCUGAGGAAAAGGGAUGUUCCUGAUGAGAAGUACACCAACGCCUUCCUUGGCUUUGGGCCAGAGAACACCAACUUUGCAGUUGAAUUGACCAACUUUGCGGAGGUCUCGCGUCCUACGUGCGUCGCGCCGUUGCCUGGCUCCGUCCUCGCCGUUCCUCUGUAGAAGCUGGCCGCUGACCCCCGCCGUGGUGGCCGUCGCGCCGUUUUUUAUUAGAUGAAGAAUGAAUCAACCCUUGUAGAAGCUAAAGAUAGAAGAUAACACUACUCUGUUUUUGAAUGUCUGAAGUGUAAUUUUGCAGCCUUGCAACUAUAAAACAAACAAUGUAUGGCUAAAUUAUUGCAGUUGCACAGUGUGAAGAUUUAAAAUUGAAGUGCUAUGAAGAGAUGGAUAAGAGGAAGAAACUUUAUAAUAUUGUUCAAGAGACAAAAGGAAAUUAUCAGGGUUUUUUGUCGAUGCCGACCCUUAAGCAAAAAUGAGGUGUCAUCAGGCCUGAAUGCAAAUGGCGGAACAACUAAAAAGACAUUUAAGUUUGAUAGAGUAUUCACGCCGAAGGAUGAUCAAGGUGUGGGCGUCUCCGGCGGCCCGACUAUACGAAGCGAGGGCGUAUCGGGGCUAAGGACACGAAAGGCCAAGCGCAAAGGGCGUACGGCAGUAAGCCCGCCUGCACCGCACCAGACCGCCACCCGCGACGUGCCCAUGUCAUGACGCCACGGUGGCGGCACGCUGACCCAUCGACGUCACCCUCUUCCUCGCUUCCGCUCGACAGCCUCCAGUUUCCUGGUCAGUCUUCGUGCCGCCUCUCUACCACACACCGUCUCUCAGGUAUGUACUAUAUUGAGUAAAUACAUUUGUACUAUAAUAGGUUACUCAGACCUUAUAAUUUUAGAGAAGGAAGCUGGUGAUGAGCUGAUCAAAUUUCUCUAGAGAAGCAUUAAAACAAAUGGUUCCAGUGACAGUGGGGAGCUUGAAGUAUUCCAUAUGUCUGCUCUUAAAUUGGGAAUUACAUCUUUUAGGGCAGCACUCACUGAUAGAAGAGCCCUUAAGAAGAUAAUUCAGAACGGCCAUUUUAAGAUAAAAGAUGUCGGUGAAAUUGUACCACUUGUUAGAAACUGGGGUUUAAGAUAAAAUUGCAGCUAGAUAUGAUUGUAGUGAGUGCUUUGAGGAAAUCAUGGAGGGCUAAUUACAGUUACUUACAGGUACAUCCUACCUGGAGCUUUAAAAAUUGUGUUUCAUCGCCCAUUGAUCAAUAUUAUCCAUCGGGUUAUCAACGUCAUCCGAGCCUGUCCAGUCAGGUUAACAGUGUGGCUAAGUCAUAUGAAAAAAUAUAACUCAAAAGAUAACCCCAGUUUCUUGCAAUAUUACCUUCCUGUGUAUGUUCUAGGUAUAAUACCUGACUUUGGUAAUACAUAGUUAUUCUGUUUUAACUGAAAUAGUUUGUCGAUUUUUGCGUGGGAACAACAAAUACAUGAUGGUACCCCUUCCAUCCAAAAAAUGCAAGGCCUCUAUUUGACAAACAGUCGAACUCUUAGUAGAGGCGGUCCAGAGGUCGUUAGUGGAUAGUCAAGAAGAGAUUCACAGUUGAUGUCGAACAAAUAAAGGAAUCCAAUAAACUUACUGCAACAUUGAGAAGGGAAAAUCCUACAUCAGCUACAUGUAUAAUCGAAUUAUUUGUAUAAACAAGAUAGGUACAGGCAGAGCAAUUCGGUAGAGAGAAGGGAGGGUGCAUGCUUGCAGCCUCAUUAGAUUACUCAGUUACUAUUUUAGGCUGUCUUAUUGCGCCUUCAUAGUUGGAAGUAGUAUAGAUUUUAAUCUUCUCUGUAUGAGCUUAAUAUACUUUUAUUUAGCUUCUUGCAAGCUUGAAUUUCCUGGUGCUCAAAUGCCACCUGCCACUUUUGUAGUCUCUGCUCGGAACUGUGUUUUCUUACUCUAAUUAUACAUAUACGUUCAUAUAGAGAUGGAAUCACCACCCCUCACGGUUGAAGCGACCGCUUUUACCGAGAAAAUGAUGGACAUGACUUUGGAGGAUAUAAUCAAGAUGUGAAAGAAAAAGAAUCCUGGAGGCAAGAAACCCCCUAGGCGGCCGGUAAACUCUAAGUCUGAAGGUUUAGGGUUUUCAUGCUCUCGACUCUGAUAGCUAACUCAGGAACGAACCAAUGGUAACAAUUUUCUUCAUUUAAUGGUGGAUUAAAUGAAACUAUCUUCGGUCUUUGGUACUUGCUCAACAUCUACAAUAAGUAGGUCAGUGGAACAUAUGUCCUGUCACCGUUAGAUUGGGCGAUCGAACCAUGGUACAUCAGUCACCUUCUUUAAUGAUUUUUUUGUUCUACUUACUAAUCUGCUGCUUUACUCUUCCCUGGUGUUUGUACUGACCUUUUUAGGAAAUCUUGCAGAACUGAUAUUCAAUGUAAAAUAUUCAGUGUGAUAGAAAAAAGAAGAUUAGUCGAGUAUGAUCUUUAUUUCAAUCUGCCAAUGCUCUUGCGUGUCAAUGGAUGUUUGCAAAGACAACAGAUGCCAAUGCAGACUGGCUUCUUCCUAACAACAAACCUCAACAAGCCAAGAGAGACGACAAUUGGCGACGUAGGAAAAAAGACGCAUUAAUCAAUAACGUGUGGAUUCCUGGCAGUGGCGUAGACAAGGGGCUCUAAGGAUGAGUAGUAAGAAAACCAGGCACACUAUGAGGGGGUUCCUCAAUGUGGCUAGCAGGAUACUCCCUGGUGCAAGGGGUUACCUUUUCAAAGGGAGUUCAUCUAUCUAGAGCAGACAAGAGGCGUUGCUGAGACACGCCCGACCAUAGCUACGUGAUAGACAUAUCAUGAUACAAAGGAGUGCCGAGGUAGAGGAGGAGGGAACGAAUGCUACGGUGCAGGGCCAUGAGGAGGAUGUCACAGUCAUAGAUGCUGGAGUGCAGGGCCAUGAGGCAGAGGUCGUGGAGGAUGACGAGGACAAGGAUGAGGCCAUCAAGCCUCCAGCCUUUUGACGAAGGGGCACUCGAAAGGGCCACUUCGUCCCACCUCCGUCAGCACCUGCCUAGUAAGAAGCAAGGGUUCUAAUUAUCCCAGUUGGUGAUAGGUAUUCACAUUUGGCCAUUAAUGUGUUGUUACUUAUUUCUUUAUUUUCUUGUACAUUGUAUAUAUGAUAUGCAUUUCUUGUUUUUUGUCUUGUAACCAAUGGGAGGACACGUCUUUCUAUUGUAGAGGUCACCAUAGAUAGGUUAAUCAAGUCUUAGGUUACCUCUGUCAUAUACAUUAUCCAAGAAUUUUGACUGACUCAAAAGAUGUG